UACAGAGGAGCCAAGCGUUGUCCGGAUUGACUGGGCGUAAAGCGCACGCAGGCGGUCGGGCGCGUGGGGUGUGAAAUCUGGCCGCUUAACGGCCAGGCGCCAUCCCGUACGGCUCGACUGGAGUGAUGCAGAGGUCGAUGGAAUUGCCGGUGUAGUGGUGAAAUGCGUAGAGAUCGGCAGGAACACCCAGGGGGAAACCAGUCGACUGGGCAUCUACUGACGCUGAGGUGCGAGAGCGUGGGGAGCGAACCGG
rnacentral:rRNA from 1 species